UGCAAAAACGCUACUAAAACUUAAAAUGAAAAAUGUAAGGAAAUCCCAAAAACGACUGCAGGAGGUCAGUGCAGAUGAAAAAGGACGCUCAUUCCAAGCUGUUGCAUUUUAUUGUGGGACUUCACCGACAGGAAGCAAUACCACAAAAUGGCAAAUCUGCGGAAUAGUUGAAGUGCUGGAGGAGAUCCACUGGAGAAUUUUAGUAGGAAGGAACAUGCCGAGUGGGAUUUCGCUCUCCACGUGGACGUCCUGCCGGCCGUGUCCUUGCAAGGAAAAACCACCAGUAAUAUGACCUCCGACGACUUCUCCAUUAGGACUCCGUACACCACCACAACCAUCUACUUGGCAGCUUAAGCGGAGCUGGCUUCUAUAGGGAGGAGGAAAAUAGAACGCCCGUUAAAGAACAGCACCAGCGGAUCAACCCCGCUCCCAAUCCGGCUCCCACUUCCUCAAGGUCCAAUAUGGCUACUGGGACUCGAAGCUGUACUGCGGUGGCGCGAGAAAGAUGGCGAAGCACCCACGGGACGAGAAGGAAGCUCUACUACUAAUUUACAUAAGCUUAUGUUCGCCAGUUCAGAUAGACUGCUCAUGAAGGGAUCCCCUAAGUGGUACAGUCUAGAUCUGCUCAGGGCCGGGCAGGAACAGAACAGGUGUUCCACCGUUUCCUCUUCCUCCUCAUCCCUGCAGCUUCUGCAGAAAUCAUUUCGGGGCGCGCCCAAUCUGCUUGCGUGUGUGCCAACCAACCAGUGGCCUGUUAACACUCGUAUUACCAUUCCGCACUCGGUACGGUUUAGUCUUAAUAGUUCCGAAGUUCUCUUCGCGUCAAUGAUUGGCCAUGUCUGGCGAGAGAUGCGACAGUGCUUAACAUGUGUCCAUGCUAGGCUCGCAAGUUUCUUAUAUUGGAUUUAAUGUUAAGAAACUGUAUAUAUAACUAUAGUUACGGAGAUAUCAAAUAUGUUUUCUUAAAAAAAUCUUAAAAAUCGUAUUCUUUUGAAAUUGUUUUGGUUUAUUUCAUCAUUAUCUAUCAUCCUUCUCGGGGCAGUUUCAAAAGUAUUAUUUUUAAAUCCCAAUUGGAUUGACCAACGAUCGAUUUAUAGAAGCCGUCUUCUUCUAGUACUACCAAUGCUGUGCUAAAACCCUAUUUAACCGAGAGUGGAGUUAUGGGGUUAUGGCUUAACCCAGCUGUUUUAAACAUAAGUAUUGCAUAGGCAACUAGAGGUGGGCAAAUGUAGGGUCUUGGUUGGGUCCUUGGUAUUUGAUUGUUAUGGUUUCGUAUACUUAGUAUUUCUUUGCCUAUCGUCGGAUAUUCAUCACUAUAGAAUCUGACAAUACUUACUCGAGUAGAAAUGAAAUUUUUUCAGCACGACUCAUUAUUACUUACACGAAACAUCGAUGUUUUAAAAUUUUUUAGAAACAUUGAUGUUUUUUGGAGACAAUAGAUGUUUUUGUCACAUUACCAAUUUAGAUGUCGAAUAUUUUUCCUAUAUCGUAUCAAUGAUAUUCUCUGUUUUAAAAAAAUAUCAAAAUGAUAUCGCUUUGAAAUAUCGAUAUAUCAAUAUAAUUGAUAUUUUCCCUUUCCCAAAGAAAAAUAGUACCGUGCCCGAUAGUAAAAGGAAAUAGACUUUUUAAAUGAAUCAUAACAAUAUAUUCAUAAGAUUCCACAAUCAUAUAGCAAACAUAAAUAUAAGAUUCAAAUAUUUUUUAAGGGUUAUACAUAUUAAAUAUGAUAUUCGAGUUUUUUUUUUAAGAACUAUACAUACAAAUAUGAAAGUAAUAUAAAUUCAGUGAUUUUAGUGCCAAUAUUUGGCUUUAACAGAUAAUACGGCUGCGGGUAUCACAAAUUACGCAUUUUAUAGCGGAUGCAAGUCGCUCUGAAGG